UACGUAGGGUGCAAGCGUUGUCCGGAAUUAUUGGGCGUAAAGAGCUCGUAGGCGGUUUGUCGCGUCUGCCGUGAAAGUCCGGGGCUCAACUCCGGAUCUGCGGUGGGUACGGGCAGACUAGAGUGAUGUAGGGGAGACUGGAAUUCCUGGUGUAGCGGUGAAAUGCGCAGAUAUCAGGAAGAACACCCGUGGCGAAGGCGGUUCUCUGGGACGGUACUGACGCUGAGACGCGAAAGCGUGGGGAGCGAACAGG
rnacentral:rRNA from 1 species